AACGAACGCUGGCGGCAGGCCUAAUACAUGCAAGUCGAACGCUCCAGCAAUGGAGAGUGGCAGACGGGUGAGUAACGCGUGGGAACCUUCCCAGUGGUACGGAAUAGCUCAGGGAAACUUGAGGUAAUACCGUAUACGCCCCAAGGGGGAAAGAUUUAUCGCCAUUGGAUGGGCCCGCGUCGGAUUAGCUAGUUGGUGGGGUAAUGGCCUACCAAGGCGACGAUCCGUAGCUGGUCUGAGAGGAUGAUCAGCCACACUGGGACUGAGACACGGCCCAGACUCCUACGGGAGGCAGCAGUAGGGAAUGUUGGACAAUGGGCGAAAGCCUGAUCCAGCCAUGCCGCGUGAGUGACGAAGGCCUUCGGGUUGUAAAGCUCUUUUGGCGGGGACGAUAAUGACGGUACCCGCAGAAUAAGCUCCGGCUAACUUCGUGCCAGCCGCCGCGUAACAC
rnacentral:rRNA from 1 species